GGAGAGAUGGCUGAGCUGGACGAAGGCGCUCGCCUGGAAAGCGAGUAGAUGGGGCAAAACCUUGUCUCGAGGGUUCGAAUCCCUCUCUCUCCGCCA
rnacentral:tRNA from 2 species